rnacentral:lncRNA from 1 species
GGCCUUUGUUCUCCUGAUGGAGGGGGUCGGGCGCGGGAUCUACUGGAGGAUCCUGGAUUCGUUUACCCAAGAGGGAACAGUUUUGAGACCCCCCGGAUUCACUGCGGAGUGGCCGCAGAGGCCGGGGUCGGCCUUUGCGCCGUGGCUUCGGGUGUUGUGGAGGCGCACAGAGGCACGUUAGUUGAUUUCCAGUGGUUUUUGGUUUCGGGGGUCUUAGGAAGGUGUGGCUCAUUUGAGCAGGAUGGAGAGAGAGGCUGUGACAAGGGUCUCUCCUCAGGGAUGACAUCAUCCGUCCACCUCCUUGUCUUCAAGGACCACCUCCUCUCCAUGCUGAGCUGCUGCCAAGGGGCCUGCUGCCCAUCUACACCUCACGAGGGCACUAGGAGCACGGUUUCCUGGAUCCCACCAACAUACAAAGCAGCCACUCACUGACCCCCAGGACCAGGAUGGCAAAGGAUGAAGAGGACCGGAACUGACCAGCCAGCUGUCCCUCUUACCUAAAGACUUAAACCAAUGCCCUAGUGAGGGGGCAUUGGGCAUUAAGCCCUGACCUUUGCUAUGCUCAUACUUUGACUCUAUGAGUACUUUCCUAUAAGUCUUUGCUUGUGUUCACCUGCUAGCAAACUGGAGUGUUUCCCUCCCCAAGGGGGUGUCAGUCUUUGUCGACUGACUCUGUCAUCACCCUUAUGAUGUCCUGAAUGGAAGGAUCCCUUUGGGAAAUUCUCAGGAGGGGGACCUGGGCCAAGGGCUUGGCCAGCAUCCUGCUGGCAACUCCAAGGCCCUGGGUGGGCUUCUGGAAUGAGCAUGCUACUGAAUCACCAAAGGCACGCCCGACCUCUCUGAAGAUCUUCCUAUCCUUUUCUGGGGGAAUGGGGUCGAUGAGAGCAACCUCCUAGGGUUGUUGUGAGAAUUAAAUGAGAUAAAAGAGGCCUCAGGCAGGAUCUGGCAUAGAGGAGGUGAUCAGCAAAUGUUUGUUGAAAAGGUUUGACAGGUCAGUCCCUUCCCACCCCUCUUGCUUGUCUUACUUGUCUUAUUUAUUCUCCAACAGCACUCCAGGCAGCCCUUGUCCACGGGCUCUCCUUGCAUCAGAGACUGGCAGGAGCUUUUACCAGUGGUUUUUACAUCCUUAAUGUUCAGGACGAAUAAUUUAUGGUCAGUGAAAAUCCAGGCCCCAGUGAGAUUCGAGUGGGCUGUAAAAUCGAGAGUCCUGCUCCCAGCACGUGGGCCGUGGCCCGGCUGGGUCGGCUGAAGAACUGCGGAUGGAAGCUGCGGAAGAGGCCCUGAUGGGGCCCACCAUCCCGGACCCAAGUCUUCUUCCUGGCGGGCCUCUCGUCUCCUUCCUGGUUUGGGCGGAAGCCAUCACCUGGAUGCCUACGUGGGAAGGGACCUCGAAUGUGGGACCCCACCUCCACAGCCACGGGGACACCCUGCACCUAUUCCCACGGGACAGGCUGGACCCAGAGACUCUGGACCCGGGGCCUCCCCUUGAGUAGAGACCCGCCCUCUGACUGAUGGACGCCGCUGACCUGGGGUCAGACCCGUGGGCUGGACCCCUGCCCACCCCGCAGGAACCCUGAGGCCUAGGGGAGCUGUUGAGCCUUCAGUGUCUGCAUGUGGGAAGUGGGCUCCUUCACCUACCUCACAGGGCUGUUGUGAGGGGCGCUGUGAUGCGGUUCCAAAGCACAGGGCUUGGCGCACCCCACUGUGCUCUCAAUAAAUGUGUUUCCUGUCUUAACAAAAACUGAUGGAUGUGCUACUAAUA